UUACGUUGGUGUAGAGUUUAAAGUUAACUUCUUUUAAGCUUAAACACUAAUAGUAAAAAUACUACAGAGCCCGCUUUUAUAGCGGGCUUUUUCGU
rfam:Pseudoalteromonas haloplanktis str. TAC125 chromosome I, complete sequence.